rnacentral:rRNA from 1 species
GAGUUUGAUCGUGGCUCAGAACGAACGCUGGCGGCAUGCCUAACACAUGCAAGUCGAACGGGAUCCGGACUUCGGUUCGGUGAGAGUGGCGGACGGGUGAGUAACGCGUGGGAACCUGCCCAGUGGUGGGGGAUAACUGCGGGAAACUGCAGCUAAUACCGCAUGAGCCCGAGAGGGGAAAGAUUUAUCGCCAUUGGAGGGGCCCGCGUUCGAUUAGGUAGUUGGUGGGGUAAAGGCCUACCAAGCCGACGAUCGAUAGCUGGUCUGAGAGGAUGAUCAGCCACACUGGGACUGAGAUACGGCCCAGACUCCUACGGGAGGCAGCAGUGGGGAAUAUUGGACAAUGGGGGCAACCCUGAUCCAGCAAUGCCGCGUGAGUGAUGAAGGCCUUC